CCCUUAGAUGUCCUGGGCUGCACGCGCGCUACACUGAUGUGUUCAAUAAGCACCUAACCUACUCCGAAGGGACUGGGUAACCUUUGCAAAGCACAUCGUGAUGGGGAUAGAUUAUUGCAAUUAUUAGUCUUGAACGAGGAAUUCCUAGUAAGCGCAAGUCAUCAGCUUGUGUUGAUUACGUCCCUGCCCUUUGUACACACCGCCCGUCGCUCCUACCGAUUGAGUGAUCCAGUGAAUACUUCGGAGUGUGAACUCUACAGUUUCUGUUUUGUUCGCGCAAAGUUGAAUAAACCUUAUCACUUAGAGGAAGGAGAAGUCGUAACA
rnacentral:rRNA from 1 species